UAGGGAAUAUUAGAAAUGGACGAAAGUCUGAUCUAGCAACACCGCGUGUGCGAAGAAGGCCUUUGGGUCGUAAAGCACUUUUUGGAAGGAAUAGGAAGGAAUGUACUUCCAGAAUAAGUCUCGGCUAACUACGUGCCAGCAGCCGCGGUAACACGUAGGAGGCAAACGUUAUCCGGAUUUAAUGGGCGUAAAGCGCGUGUAGGUGGUACUGUAAGUAGGGCGUGAAAGCUCCUGGCUCAACUGGGAGAGGCCGUUCUAAACUACAGAACUAGAGGAUAGUAGAGGGAGGUGGAAUUCCAGGUGUAGCGGUGGAAUGCGCAGAUAUCUGGAGGAACACCGGUGGCGAAGGCGGCCUCCUGGACCAUUCCCGACACUCAGACGCGAAAGCUAGGGUAGCAAACGG
rnacentral:rRNA from 1 species